rnacentral:rRNA from 1 species
AUUGAACGCUGGCGGCAUGCUUUACACAUGCAAGUCGAACGGCAGCGCGGGCUUCGGCCUGGCGGCGAGUGGCGAACGGGUGAGUAAUGCAUCGGAACGUGCCCAGCAGUGGGGGAUAGCCCGGCGAAAGCCGGAUUAAUACCGCAUACGACCUGAGGGUGAAAGCGGGGGACCGAAAGGCCUCGCGCUCUUGGAGCGGCCGAUGUCGGAUUAGCUAGUUGGUGGGGUAAAGGCGUACCAAGGCGACGAUCCGUAGCUGGUCUGAGAGGACGACCAGCCACACUGGGACUGAGACACGGCCCAGACUCCUACGGGAGGCAGCAGUGGGGAAUUUUGGACAAUGGGGGCAACCCUGAUCCAGCCAUGCCGCGUGCGGGAAGAAGGCCUUCGGGUUGUAAACCGCUUUUGUUCGGGAAGAAAUCCUCUGGGCUAAUACCCCGGGGGGAUGACGGUACCGGAAGAAUAAGCACCGGCUAACUACGUG